rnacentral:rRNA from 1 species
CUCCUACGGGAGGCAGCAGUAAGGAAUAUUGGUCAAUGGGCGCAAGCCUGAACCAGCCAUGCCGCGUGCAGGAAGACGGCCCUACGGGUUGUAAACUGCUUUUGCAGGGGAAUAAACCCCGCUAUGUAUAGCGGGUUGAAUGUACUCUGAGAAUAAGGAUCGGCUAACUCCGUGCCAGCAGCCGCGGUAAUACGGAGGAUCCGAGCGUUAUCCGGAUUUAUUGGGUUUAAAGGGUGCGUAGGCGGCCUGUUAAGUCAGGGGUGAAAGACGGUAGCUUAACUAUCGCAGUGCCCUUGAUACUGAUGGGCUUGAAUGUAGAUGAAGUAGGCGGAAUGUGACAAGUAGCGGUGAAAUGCAUAGAUAUGUCACAGAACACCGAUUGCGAAGGCAGCUUACUAAGGUAUGAUUGACGCUGAGGCACGAAAGCGUGGGGAUCAAACAGGAUUAGAUACCCUGGUAGUCCACGCCCUAAACGAUGAAUACUCGAUGUUGGCGAUAUACAGUCAGCGUCAAAGCGAAAGCGUUAAGUAUUCCACCUGGGGAGUACGCCCGCAAGGGUGAAACUCAAAGGAAUUGACGG